CCAGAAAAUUCUGGAAAGAGAGAGAGAAGAGCCUUGGAGAGAAGAAAAAACAAUUUUGACCAAAAUCUGAGCCCCGAAGCCCAUGAAGAGAAAAGUGUUGUACGUUGCGUUGUCUUCAAUUUGAGCUAAAAUUCAACCAAGGAGGAGAGUGAUAACGUGGUGUCUGCAUUCUUAAGGUGUGAAUAAGGUACCUUUUCAUUGUUAACGAGUUUAUUUAGAAUUUUAACGGAUUAGAACGGAGAGAAUAGCCUGAUAAAUUCGUUUGUUGGUGCUGUGAAUUAUGAAACGAGAUUUGAAGAAAACUUUGGAUGAAAAUAAAUGUAUUUAACUUGUAAAAUGUAGAGGAUGUGGUUACUGAUGUUGUUAGUGUUAAUUUCAGCUUCUUUAUGGAAAUAAAAUUAUUAAAUAGUUAUAUCGCAAAUUUGGUUGGUUAAGAAAUUUAGAAAACAGUGCGCGGGCUGUUUUAUGGCAUACGUCGGUAUUGGAAAUGAUGUUAAUACUAUUGGUAUUGUUGUUGAUGUUGUUGGUUGUUGAAUUGAAAUUUCGGGCUAGGCAUAUAAACAGGGGAAAUGCUGCCCGAAUUUCGGCAGAAUUUAAAAGGGUUUUAAUUAAAGUUUCGAGACGAACGUACGACGAUGAUCCUAAUGAUAUUAUGAAUGAUUCCAUAUGUGGAGUACGAGGCUGCGAAUAAUUCUUAAGCGAGUUGCAAGACGGGAAGUAAGUUGAAAGUCGAGAAUCAUCUUCCAGGUAUGUAAGGCUUACCCUUUCUUUCUUUCUUUGGCAUGUUCUAGAGCUAAGUAAGGUAUGAUACGUAUUUUGGGGUAACUCUAUUCUUUAAUUCCGAGCUUGUUUACGAUUCUUAUUCACUUCUUAAUAUGAGUAUACUUAGUAUAGUCGAGCUUAUUGUUUGAUUGCAUAACAAGCAAAGUAUAAAGAGUUCUUGUUUUUAAAAGAGUUCUAUAAGUAUUAAUGUCCCUAACUUUCGUAGACGGUCUCGGAUUGCUCUAAAACGUUCGUAAAGGGUUCUGUAGUAAAUGAUGGUCAAAACUUUCUUAUGCAAACUCGGAUUGACCCGAAACGUGUUUACGAUCUUUCAAGUGUCGUUUUGUGUACUUAUCUAUCGAGUCUUGAAAAUUGAUUUGUGUGCAUAUAGUUUCUCACUACUCUGCUCGUGAAUGUCUCAAUAUGUCCUUCACUGAGCCCGGGCCAGGAUAUGUUAUCGUGCGCACUCCUCUGCAUUGUUCACCGAGUCCCUCAAUAGAGGGCCGGGAUACGUUAUAUGUAUAUACAUUCUGGAGUAUGAUGUGUUCUGGAGUAUGAUGUGUUACAAAGUUAUUCCCUAUUCUGGAGUAUGAUGUGUUAUGGCGCCAAUGACGGGGUGGCGACCAUGUUUUGUCCACCGUGUCCCAUAAUGGGCCGGAUAGGACAUAUCCCAUCGACAUGCAUGAUUUGUGUUUUAAAAGUACACACUGAUGAGUAGAAGACAUUGCUAGAAGAUGUUCCAGCGGGAUUAGCGAGCUCCAUUUUCUUCCGGAGUGUUGCCGAGUUAGAGUAUAUAUGUUAUGAUUCCUGAUUGAUGUUAGAGACUUUGCAGACCGAGUCACGUGUGUGAGUCGUCAGUCUUGUAAGCGGCUCUGCAAGCCGAUGUACCAUUUUGCGUUAUGUUACAAAUUCCAUAUGAUUACAGAUUUUACUUGACUUGAGAACGACGAAAAGAAUGUUUCUGAAAGCCUUUACUGUGUAUUUCAUUUUUAUUUGAUUUAAGAGUCCAAAGAGAUUAUGUGUGUAGUAAGAGUCAGCGGGUUCGCUCGGCCCUAAAUAAGGGUCGGGUGCCCAUCAUGCCCUACCAAGGUUAGGGUGUGACAGGCAUCCCAUCAAUGGGAGUCUUUUCGAAUAGCUGUAUGGCAUCAGAUAUUGAGAUUGUAGUAGUAAUCACUUUCCUUUUAAGGGUUAUUAAUGGAGAAGAGAUGCUUGUUGCAGAGAUCA